AGAUGGUGCUUUAGGUAAGAGCAUCAUUGACGACUUGAAGCGGAUCCAGUGGAAUCUGACGGAAGACAGCAUUAUUUCGAUGGCGCCAGAUUUCCCACAGAACGUGAGCGAUCACUUCAAAAUCUGGAGCCGCUUGUGGGAGGGAAGCUCUGUCAACAACCUAGGCAUCAAAUCUGCUAAUUGAGGUACCCGAAGGUGUCUCUGUCCAAAUAAGUUGAUCAUGAAGGAGGGACGCAUUGAUGGGAGUAUUGAGGAUUGUUGUACUGACCUAGACAUCGAAGAAUGCAGUAACAAGGGAUGACUUCCAUUCAGAGUGCGUGGAAUCAAUGAGAUCAGCAACUAGUUCAGGUUCCCCUUCCACUGAGAGACAACGGAAGCUUGAAGAUAGACAUGGCAUACU